GGCUGGCAUGGCGUAGUGGUUUGAGUGUUGGACUACAACAUUGCAGACCAGGGUUCAAUUCCCAGUUUGGCCA